CAACGAGGACUUCGCUUAUUCCUCUGCCGCCAUUUGAUGAUGGCCGGUCUCGCACGGUGGUUGCAUGACGCUCUUUAGAACAAAGUCAUUAUUAUUAGUUUCGCGACAUUUCUUUGUUGAAGAUCGGCAAGUCCAGUUCUAUGUUAAAAGAUCCUAUUUAUCAAUGGUCACAGUACUGUCUGCGACAGUGGUUUUCAGAAGCUCAGAGAUACGGCAAAAAUACCCCAGUUUCGUUUGUUUCCUAUUGCCGGAAAUUAUUAACACGUAUCCAGCUAGCCGUGGUACUCGCAUAUUCGGAGAAACUGAAACGUUUGAUAAACGUAUGGGUAAAUUACGAUACCAUUAUGGUUCUGGCUUUUCCUGUUGAGCAGAUUUGUAUACAUCUAUAUCUUGUGUACAGCCUACACUUUAUAAUAUGUGUACACAUAUGUGUAUACCUACCUUAUCUAAUGUGUAAAGAUGCACUGCUACUUCAGUUAAACUGGUAAGCAAAGCAAUCUUAUUUCCACAAACACUGAAUAAUUUUGGAAUUUGUAUUAAAUAGACUAAUACAUUUCCAGUAUAAGUAACAGCUGCUAUCAUGGAUCCAUCAGUAGACCAUUCAACCUUGCUAAUUCCUGUUUCAUUGCUCACUGUAAUUAACUUUUCAGUUUCUUCUAAAUUUUGUAGACUAUGUAUCUUUAUAAUGUUUCCACCACAUGUUACAAUUUUUCCUACUGCUUGACUUAUUGUUAAAUCUGUUAAUGAAUCUUUAUAAUUCUUAACUUGAAAUAGUUCUUGACCCACUUCUUUAAUGUGUGUAGAUAUUGCUGUGAAAUAUCCAGUUUCAAAGCCAACUAAGAUAUAACCGUCCCCAUACCUAAAAACAGCUUAUUUGUAAAGAGGUACAGCAUCAUUUAUAUUGAUCCAUUGUGUAUAACUUUACCAUUUAUAUGUAACAAUAGGACCAUAGCGUUUUUGAAAAGCCAAUUCAAUGGGGUUUUCUGGAUCCGAAAUAUUAUAUAAGAAUAAAGUGGUCUUACUAAUGACAAGAGACACCUAAUAAAUGAUAACAGAUUAAUAUCUUGUAUACGUAUAGCUGUAUUCUGUGUAUUAAGUUAAGAUAGGAUAGUACCGUAUUUUCACCCCCAAUUCUAUGAUCCAUCUUCAUUUCAUUAAACUGAAUGUCUGAUGGAUCACCUUGGAGAGGAAUUUCACGGCGUGUAUCUCCAUCACUUGUACUAAUAGUUAAAACCUUAUCUUCACUGGCAAGAGCUAGAAGUCCUUCAUAAGACCAAGCACCGCAUGUUAUACGUCUUUUAUGUUUUCCCAGAAUUGGAGUUCGUCUAUUAAUUAAUUAAUUAAUAACUUAAUGUGUCUACUUCCUAAGCAAUAAGUAAUAAUGUUCCAAGAAUCAGAAAAUUAUGCAUACUUGGCAUUUAUGUGAUCAUAAAGAACCAGGUUCCCCUUUUGUGUCCCUACAGCUAAUAAGCAGGUCCUUUUUGCCCACAUUAUACAUGUUAGGGUAUCCCUUACACCAGCAUCUAUUUGUGAUCUCUUUCCUGUUGUUGCAUCCCAUAAUAUGAUAGUGGUAGAAUUUUGUGAUAUAACAGCUAACAGAUCUCCAUCAGAGUCCCAUCCAAAUCCAGUACAUAGACCAGAUAUCUGAAUACGUUCUUGCAAGUUACCUUGUCUAUCAAAAAUAGCAACCGAAGAAUCAUAACCAGUGGUUGCUAAAUGUGUGCUAUUACCAGGCCGCCAAGAGAUAAAUACUGUACCAGAACCAUGCGGUUGAUACAACUGAUAUAGAACCUGUGAUUAAACAUUUGACAGCUUAAUAAAUGCUAGUGUCAAAUGAAUGUCUUUCCUUUGUAUUCGAAGUUUAUCAGACGCAGGCA